GGUGAGGAGAGACUUACAUUCAAUGGUCCAGACAGAAAAGGGCCCACCAUCCCUUUGGCCUUUGCCCAGGGUCUGUCUUUGCCUGAACUGGAUCAUUUGUGUUGCAGCCUGAGAAUUCCCCACCUUGCCCUAACCUCUGAGCUGCCCUGCUUUUGGUUUUCAAAGGACUGGAAAGGAAUGGGAAUUGGAACUCUUUCCUGCCACCUAGAUCACCAUCUUGUCUUUAAGAGCAGUUUCAGCCAGCUGCUUCCUCCAGGUGAACACCUCAGGCCACAGCCAUCAUCACGGUCGGUCGUCUACCAGGACUCCAUCACCAUGAUCAAGGAAACCUUCAGCCAGACUCUGCCUCAAGGUGGAAGGCUAGAUGGUCAGUUCAGAUAGAGGGUAACAUCAUUGAUGACUCAGUCACCGGUGGAAAUGCUUCCAAUGAAGCUCAGAGGGCAAAGGUAUCAAAAGUUCCAUAAUGACUGGUGAACCAUCACUGACCAGAAACUGGCUUCACAAAAGAGACCACAGGCCUAAAACAAGUCCAUCAGAGAUGGUGCUAACUCCCUCAAAGGCAGACUUGGAGACCAGAAGCAAGAAAAAGUAAAGCCCUUUAUGACCUGGGUUGCAGAACAAACCAAGCACAUCCUGGUCAAUUUCAAUAACCACCAGUUAUUUAUGGAUAAAAACAAAUUUCCAGAUGGCUCAGCUGCUCCUCUGGACUAUGUGACUCCAGACAGGGUUUUCUUUAAGGGUGGUUUAGAAAUGGAAAAAUGCUAACAAACUGAGCAAUUAUAUUGGCUGCAUUGCCUAUCACAACUGGAUGCUGCUUGUUAUCCGUACAACACCGGAACCCAUGAGAC